rnacentral:snoRNA from 1 species
AAUCUAUGGUGCGGGCAUUUUUGAAUCAAUAUUUUGAAACGUUCCCAUGCCUCAUAAAAACUUUUGCCCUCUAUCUGUCUAAAAACAACAAUCUCUCGCCUUACUUGGACU